UCCUUUGUGUUAAUUUGGUUUUUACUUCCCCUUGUAGUAACAGUCUGUUAAUGAUUCCUAAGAGAUGAUGGAUGAUUCAGUAUGUAAAGAUUUUUAUUAUGCACUGCCAUUGUGAAAUUCUUUGUGUUUCCUAUUUACUUUGUUUUAUUUUUUGGUUAUGCUUUGAAAUACAGUCAUGUUCUGUCUUAUAAAAAAAAAAAUAGUAUGACCCUUAUCUUUAGUAGUCUUAGAUUCACUCCAUAGUCAAACCAGUUGGUUUGAUUCAGAUCAUGGAGACUCUAUAUAUAACAACAUGGAAUAACAAAUAGAAAAUGACAAUGAAACUUUCAAGUAUACCAUUAAGGAACUUACUGAAGCCACAAAUUUGAUUCAGUACAAACUCCUUAGUAAACUGAAUGCCUCUGUAGUACCAUAUCUACAUUAUGUCAGGUAGAUAAGUUUUAUAUACUGGACAAAUAUUCAUGGAAAGGGGAUCAGUCAUUUUUGGUGACAGAAUGCACAGAUUACUUUAUCAAAUUCAUAAAAACGAUUUAUGCUCCUAUCCUAGUUAAAACCCCAAUCAUUCAAAAUGGCAGUGUAUAGAUACCAACAUGCAGAAAAUAAUCAUGAUGUUCACAUUACUCCUGAUUGGUGGGUAGUGGGGUCUUAACACUCUCUAUUAAUAACAUUGAGUUGUUGUUAUUCUGUGUACUAACAAUAUGUAUAAAGAUCUCUACUCACAUAUUCUGAAUGCCGUUGAUUGACUUAUCUCUCACCUCAAAUAACUAAAUAUGACUUUCUAAAUAAUAGUCAAAUUCUAAACUUGCUACCAUUUGUAGGCAGAACAACAUCCUAUGAACAAGUUUCUCGUGUCAAAACUCAGUUAUACAAAUUUUUGUUAUUUCAUUGUCACAACUCUCUUCCCUCUACUUAAUCUUUGAAUUAGAAAGAUCACUUACCAAUAUUUUUGAAACUCUUAAAAAAAUGUUUUACAAUACUUUAAAUUCUCUUUAAGCAAUACUAUAUGAAAUGAACAAUUUAGUCUCAGGUAUACUCCAAAAGACUUUUUGAUAAAAUAACUUCUCAACAGGAGGAGCUUUAUGCUCUUCUUAGAGAAAAAUGCUGGUUUUAUGUGUCAGAAAUUGUAGCUCUGAAUUUCAGAAUCUUAAAAAGUAAAAUGUGCACAUUUAAUCUGAAAAACUCAAUUGUUGAUCUGUCCAACUGGAUAAAUCUUGUCUCUUGGGAACCUGGCUUGGGAAUAUUUUUCAAACUCUUGGUCUUUAGUUCAAUCAUAGUGCUAAUAUUCCUGUACGCUGCACCCCCUCAGGAGACUUAAAUGCUGGUCAGAAGCCACUAAUUCAUCAGUCUUCUUGAGAACUGAAUGUCAGAAACUGUGUAAAUUUGAAUUACCAGGGGAAAAAAAGAAAAAACUUAUUUGGAUUCUAGUAUGAACUCUUUAGAGGACCAUGAGGGAGGGUACAUGUGAGAACUGAGAGGAACACAUGAAUCUACUGAAUGACGGGGGGCAGGGAGGAUUGUUACAUAUAAACUUUUAGAAGCCAUGGUUUAAAUAUAACCUAGAACAGACAUCCAUAGCUACAUAAUCAAAAUUUAAAACUGUUCAUAUCUCCCCAAAAUGUAAGCUCUAUCUAUAAACAAAAUUCAAGCUUUACCAGGUGAGCAUGAACCUUAAAAAUUCUUAGCCAAUCAGCUGGAAACAAGUUUAUGCAGCACUGCUACCUUAAAAAGAACGUAAGCUUUAAGUAGCCAAUCAUGACCAAGAACAAUACACUCUGUCUUUUAUAAGCUGUGCACUGAGUUGCUUUUAGUUUGAAAUCUACCAGAAUGUAAUCUGUACUUUUUCAUAUUAUAUGACAAUAAACUUUAAAAGUUUUCUAACUUUCUCUGAUUUUAUUUUUGACAAACUAAAAAGUCUCAGUUAAAGUAGUUUUAGACAUAGACAGAAGAUGGACUUACAUGAUGUCACAAAGACCCAGUCUCCCUCCUGUUACUUAGUUCUGCUUCCUCUCUUUUCGCUUCAUUCAGUAGUAACUCAAAGCUUUUAUCACAGCAGCACUGCAAGUCUGCUGGAAGAGAGCCCCUCCUUUCCAAUAAUUUCAGCAAAAGAUCCACUCUCCUUGGUGAGGGAAACAAUGCUCUAAUCAUUCAUCGUGGAGCAUGUUCCCUCUCUGGGUACAGAGGCUGAGAGCGAGGAAGUAGCUGGCCAAUCAUGAUGCAGUUAUCAGGCAAAAGGGAGAAGGGUGCUGGGACCCCAAAGAUAAUCGUUGUCCACCAAAUACAUUAAUCUUGGAAAAAGACUGAGGAAAUACAAUUCAGCUAAGGAAGUAUAAUCUUAGAAUAAUUAAUGGUUUAGAGUAUCAGUUAACAGCUGUUUAACUGUCUAAUCACUCCUGGAAUAUUGUCUACAGUUCUUGGCACUGUCCUUUACAAGAGGCAUAAGGCUGAUAAAGUUUCCCUAAAACUAUGUUCAUCAAAGAAUUUAUGAAGAACAGUUGAAGAAAUCACAGGAUGUUUGCUUGGGAGAAAAGACCUAGGGGAUAGAAAAUCUGUCUUUAGUUGUUCAAAGUCCUCACUUACAACAGGGUGUCCUCUGUGUGACUUCACAGAGGAAAGCCACAGGACUGGGUAGGGUGGCAGUUUUAGGUUCAACAAAGUAACCUGUAACUGUGACACCUGGCUGAUUUAAAUUAGGGAACUCCCUUUACCAAAAAUGUUCAAAUAGGGUUUGAAUGUCAAAACUCCUGGAAUGCUACAAGAGUCUGUUGGGAUAUUACACAGUGCAAUAGCAUUGUACAUGGAAGUUAGGCUCUGAGUCAAUGAGUGAGGCAAAAACCACUCACAGCCAAAAAUGCCAUGAGAAUCAUCCAUAAAAUUGAAAUAGUACAAGACUAAAGGAUAAAAAUGGUAUAAAUUCAUUAGGAACGAAGAAAGAGAGAAGAGAGAAGCCACCCAUGGGUGAGAAGAGCAGUAACACCUGGAAGAGCAAAAAGCAGUGAAGACCAGAGAGAGCUGAGUGUCCAGUACAUGCAGAGGAGCAGGGCCAUUCCCAAGAUACACCAGGAAAUCCCAGCCACGAGAGGUGCCGUGUUCUGGGGAAUGCUGGGGUGAGACCAGGGCAGAAGGCUGGAGGUGCAUUUUGUGGACUUAUACUGGUUCAACUGCUGGAGACUGGGAGACCCAAGUAUGACAGCAUGAGGAAGAGGAACUGUACUGAAAGCAAGUUGGCCCAUUAAAACCUAUGCACUUGAGUACCGAGCAACUGGAAUGAGGACUGCUCUCCAGAGGGCACCAAACGGCUCCAGAGAGGAGCCUACAGACACUGACAUCUGCAGGUCCCCGGUGAAACAGAAGGACCCACACCUGAUCACCAUAUAAUCAAUAGUAGAGAGCAAGAAAAGCCUGCAGUCUUUCUCCUCAUUUUCAAAUAUCUGCAGGAUGUAAGGCAAGUCAGAGGUCUCCAGGCAAGCCGUGGACACCAAGACCAAAACACAAAGCAUGACAGAAAAGAGGCAAAGCAAAACAAAACAACCACAAAAAUACAACAUCCCCAAUAAAAUGCAUCCCCAGUAAAAUACAACAUCCCCAGAGACAUGAGAUACUGAACCUAAGAAAUAAAAAAAAAAAAAGACAUUUCACUAGAAGUCUGGCAGAGAAAGUACCUUCCUCAGAAAGUGAAACAAAAAGCCAAAGAAAUGAAAAAUAGAAGAAAAGAAGGAAAGUCAGAAGUUCUAACCAGAAUUUCAAAUCUGAAUGCAGUGACGGGAAUUCCACAAAGACAAAGAAAAAAGGGGAGCAAGGGUGAAAAAUCAGACACAGUACAAAAACAUCUCCCCAAACAGAAAGAUUUGGCUUUUCUGAUUAAAAUGGCUCACCAAGUGCCCAGCAUGAAGAACGGAAUGGAGACAUGCACGACACAUACCAAUGCACACAAUCCUGAAAUACAAGAAGGCUGGGGAUUUUGAAAAGUACGAUACAUUUUUUAAAAAGUCUAUCCCUGCCCAACAUCCACACAUAAAGACUGAGAAUAAUGAUAGCACUGGAACUGCACUGCAGCUUUGCAUACUAGACAGUAUCAACCAAUGCUUUCAGAUUUGGAGGCAAAAUUAAAUCAGAAUUCCAGCUAAACUAGGUAUUUGCACGUGAUAGAAUAGACCUGCAGACUUGUUACUUUAAACUUUCACCUCAGGUGCGUUUUUUUCACAGGAAGCUUAUUGAAGGUUGUGACCCAUUAAAAAAGGGUGGUAAGAAAGAAAACUGUAUGGGAUCAGCAACAGGCUUCCCAUAGGAGAAAUGAAGGAAAAGCAGAGAAGCCCGGCUUUUUCCUGCAAUGCUUGAGGCGGGCGCCGCUGGACUGAAUUGUGUACAGCUGCCACACCCUGCCCCCUAUUGCCAUUCACACCCCUUCGGUUCCUCCUUCCCAGGUAGAGACAGGGACGGCUUGCUCAGUGCCCUCCCACCACCCUUGGGGUUUCCUUGUGGCUCUCUAGGCUGCUGAGGUGGAGCUUGGCUGUCAGCAGCAGUGCCUUCUUCACAGCUCCAGCUGCUAUAGCCUCUGUGAAGCAGCAGCAGGGAAACCACCCCUCACAUGGCAGACAGGGGCCCAUUAACAACACCCAACCCUCCCAAGCCCCAGUAAGCUGUGUUUAGCACAGCUAGCCCCUCUGAGGAUUUCCUAAUUUCAGCCCUGCCAUUUUUUUUUUCUUUUUUUUUUUUUUUACAGAGAUAGCUGUUAAACAGCCGGGGUCUCCUACAUUCCACCAAAACACCACCAUGGUAGAAACAGCUGUCCUGGACAUCGCACACCUGCUCCAAUGUCUGCUUUGCUUGAAUUUGAAUCAAGCAGAAUUGAGUUUGGACCAAUCAAUAGGUACAGAUCAGAAGGCUUGAGUUUAAAUCAAUUUGGACCAAUCAGCAGGCUCACAUUUGGACACUCACAGGCCCCAACUUGGUCCAGUCAUGGGCUGCUGUUCAAGCAACGGUCUCCUUACUUUCUAGGGCUGGUUCGUUUAGGUGGCACACAUGUUGUGAUUUUCUUUUAGGACAAAAGACAUUAACCUAUGAGUUGUUUUUUCUAAACUCAGUAUUCAGAUUUCAUUGCUGUGUUGGCACUUUGUGAUAAAUAAGUGCAUUCUGAGUUGCAGUUUGGCACUUGGGCUCUAAAAGGUUUGCAAUCACUGGUUUAGGGUCUCUGGUGUACUCACGCCCCUCCCCACGCUGCAGCACAGGUUCUGCUCAAAGCCUUUCUCCAGUGUUCCCACAUAACUGCUUGCGAUUUAUUUCUUGGGUAUUGUGGGCUUGGAAGGUCCUGUGAAUCUACUAUGAAUUCUUACCCGAGUACUGCAGACAGAGCAGCUGCUUUAUGAGAAAGAGCUAUAAACACUAGGGACUGUUAGCUCUGAAGGGCUCCAGAGACCAGGGACCAGCAUUCACAAUUACUGGCAUCAAGGAUGCUGAACAGAGCUGUAGCUUGCCAAUUUAUGAUUUCUCUGUGAACUGAGUAACAGAACCCUCAACUGACUGAUGACAAAGGGAAGGCACAGAAUGAUGAUCAAGGUCCAGUUCUUCUGGUCUUUCAGAAAGCAAGGAUUGGUGUUUCCAGGAGAAAGUGAGUGCUGACUUCAUGGUGCUGACUCAGAGUGGGAUAGCAUGUAAAUUAUACUGAGACAAGCUGGCAUGCUUUUGGCUCCAAGUUUCUAAAGAUCCAAUUAACAAUGACCUAAGCUAAAAUAGGGGUCUAUUUUCUCACCUUUGGAAGAGCAGCAGGUGACUUAGGCAGCUGCUCAUGUCAUCAAAGUUCUACAUUCUUUCCACCUCUUGCUCGGCUACCCUCCACAUCUGCUACCUUCUCUCUCAGCUGCAAGAUGGUACAACAGCUCCAGCCAUCCUGCUCUCACAAACCCAAGCUGGGGCAAGGGACUCUUCCUGUGAGUGAGUCUACGGUCUCAGAAACUUCCCAGCAACAUCACCUCUCUUCCAUGGUUUACUGGCUGGGCUCCUUCUUAAACCCAUCAAAAACUUACAGCAUGGCCCCUCAUAUGCCCAAGACAUACAACGUAAAUAGGUGUGCAGCUGGCUGAGUAAUUUCAUCACACUGAUGACCCACUUGAGACAAGUGGUUGAGAAACAAUGAAUUACACCAGUUAGGAUGUCUGAACCACAAGGAAAAGAAGACACACCAGAAUAACACAGGAGGCUUGCUGGGCUGAAAAGAGGGGAAUGAUUGUUGGGGAGUUGCUAAUGGGGCUUCUAAGAGAAGAGUUCAAGUGUGAAAAGUCUGGGAAAAAUUAAUGAUAGAAUAUACAAAACUAAAUGAAAA